GACGAACGCUGGCGGCGUGGAUUAGGCAUGCAAGUCGAACGGUAUCAUCCUUUCGGGGGUGAGAGAGUGGCGAACUGGUGAGUAACACGUAGGUUAUCUACCCUCAAGACGGGGACAACCCAGGGAAACUUGGGCUAAUACCGGAUGUGAGCAACUUUUAGUUGUUUGAAAGGUGGCGUAAGCUGUCGCUUGGGGAUGAGCCUGCGUCCUAUUAGUUAGUUGGUGAGGUAACGGCUCACCUAGGCAAUGAUAGGUAGGCGGCCUUAACGGGUGGUCGCCCACACUGGGAUUGAGAUACGGCCCAGACUCCUACGGGAGGCAGCAGUCGAGAAUAGUCUACAAUGGUCGGAAGACUGAUAGUGCGACGCCGCGUGAACGAUGAAUCCCUUCGGGGUUAAAGUUCUUUUAUAUGUGAGCAGUGCUUCUUAUAUUAACGUAUGGGGAAGAGAUAUUAGCAUAUGAAUAAGCAACGGCUAACUCCGUGCCAGCAGCCGCGGU
rnacentral:rRNA from 1 species